AGAGACCCUGAGAGUGACACACAGGGAACUGUAGAGGACGGUGGGGCAGUAGAGAGAACAGGCACAGAGAUCCUGAGAGUGACACACAGGGAACUGUAGAGGACGGUGGGGCAGUAGAGAGAACAGGCACAGAGAUCCUGAGAGUGACACACAGGGAACUGUAGAGGACGGUGGGGCAGUAGAGAGAACAGGUACAGAGAUCCUGAGAGUGACACACAAGGAACUGUAGAGGACGGUGGGGCAGUAGAGAGAACAGGCACAGAGAUCCUGAGAGUGACACACAGGGAACUGUAGAGGACGGUGGGGCAGUAGAGAGAACAGGCACAG
ensembl:lncRNA